CAUCCCACGGAACUCAUUUGCCAGCCCAGGGUCUGCAACGAGGCUCAGCCUUCAAAGUGUCCAACACACUGAAAACGGAAAAAAACCACGACAGAACCAGCUACAGGGACCUGAGAGGGUCUUCUGGUGGAACUUGAGCCAGCUCUGCAGCCCCACAGCAGGACAAUGCCAGAGGAUGGGAAUGACGGAGCCCACGGCACGGACACAGCGGACGGGGACACGUGUGUGGGUCGGUGACAGUCACAGCAGGAGCAGCCCCAGCCUGCCAGGCUUGGCACCUGAACAAGCAACACUUCUGGCAGCAGCACAAGGAAUUCAGGCCCUUGCAAGAGGAUUUUCAGGAUGCACAGCACAACCUCUGUAAGUUGUCCAGCAUAAAAUACUGUUCUGCUUUGGGGUUUCAGCAUUUGCAGGAAGGGAGUUUGAGCCUAUUUAAGACUGAGGAAGGGAAUUACUAUUCAGGUGGAAAAAGAAAUUGCUCAGAAAAUCUGGACACUUUUAUAUCUUUCUUUCUCUCAACUGUAUCUGCAUUUAAGGGCCUUUAGCCUGUAAUAAAAGCAAUUAAUUUCCUGACCAGCUCAGCAAGAUGGAUAAAGAAACACCCUCCAAGAGAGUGAGGAUGUGAAUCCACAUGUUUAACAAAACGGGGGAAAUGCUGUGAGAGGUUGAACUUGAGUGAAACCUGUAAAACGUGAAUUAAUCUUUGUUGCCCAUAUAACAAACAAACAUAACUCAAGAAAACAUGGAAUAUGGAAGGCAAACCUACUUCUUGUACCUAGAAACUAUAAUAUUAAACAUGUUUCUCGUUGCCCAAGUUGGGGAGCAAGCCCUGCCACAGAUGUUUAACCCUCAGCAACACCAAAUUCCUUCUUCUCCAUACAUGUUUUCCAUUCCAUCCUCAGUCAGGAAUGCCUGGGUGAUUUAGAGGGGCAAGUGUUGUUAUUAGAAGGUAAAGGAGUCAAUCCUAAUUCACUUAGGUUUAUUUUCUAAGUGGCUAAAGAGAUGUAACAUCAGCCUCCAACGAGGGAGGGCAGCUCCUGCGUGUGUGGGAAUAUUAAUGAGGAUUGGCUCGAGGUAACCAGCCAGCAGGAUCUGUUUGCUAAAGCCAAUUAGUUAGUAAUCAGCAGCUUGCUCACUUUAAAAUGUCUGAUUAUUUAAAAAUGAAGGAAAAAAUACAGCCUGGAGAGCGAUAUCAAACCCAGUCGGGUGAGAAAAUCAAAGUGUACGGCAGGGAUUUUGUAACCUAACGGAGCUAGUGAGGAGAAUUGCAUUAAAAACAGAACCUGCCCAAACUCGGGGGGAGUUUAAAUCCACUCUGCAAACUGGACUUGCCUCUUUUCAACACUUGAACUGUGGGCUUGGAUAUGCUGCUAUGGAACAAGAAUGUUGCAGGUUACACUUUUCACAUCAAAGGGCCAGGGCUGGAUGGAAAAACACUCUGUCUUUGCCAAAAUAUGUUCUUUAUUUCCUUGGUGUCUUUCUGAAGGUCUCCAAGGGCUGAACACUUAAUGGUGAGUAACCUUUCCUGGAAACUCUUGGUAGUUGAUAGAAGUCACUGAGAGGGACAACCUGAACCACAGGACAAGGGACAUCCUUCAGCUCCAGGCUCAGAGUUGGGAACGACCUUAUUUCUACCUCCAUGACGAGUCCCUGGGUUUGUUUAACUGCAGAGCAAAUCCAUUUUGCACCAAUGUCCCCUACAAGCAGAUCCUCUGCUGCUGCAGCCCCUGAGCCCUGCCUUUGGUCCCAAACCAACCACAGGCCAAGGCAAACCAAGAUUUUCAGGCUAUUUUGCAUGUUUCAGCAUUAAGUAAUCCCCUGGUUGCAGUAAUAUCCAUUCUCCUGCUCCCUCUCCAGCUGUUCCACAACAUUCUCUCUUCAAACCCCAUCACUUCUAGUUUUAUCCAGGACAGAGUCUUUCCUGCAAGGUUUCAGUUGGCUUUAACUCUCAGGUUUCCCAGGAUAAGGAAUCAAUAACUAUUUAAUAUUUAAGCAGCUUACAAGCCACAAUUGAACUGUAGAUGUGACAUCAGUGUCCCAGCCACAGAGAAUCCCUGGAAAUCCAAAUGCCAGUGGCAGCAAGGUAUUAAUAAUCCAUGUUGGGCUUAUCUCUACUUGAGAACCAAGCACCUCACUUGGAAUAAAUACUGCUGAUGAUCCUCCCAGGGGUUACUUUUCUCCCCAUUGAGUGCAUCCCUUUGUCUGGGAAGGUAAAUGGGAUUUGGGGUGGAUCAUUGACAGUGUGGCUUUAAUAGAAAGACAGCCCAGAGCCAAGCAAAGCCCCAGUGGUCAGAGCUUCGAUCUCUCUGCCCGUAAAGCAGCAGCUGGGAUCAAUUAUUGCCCACCAGGUGAUCCAUAUCUGCUCAUCCAUCUGGCUGUGGGGCAGCCCCUGCAAAUAUCUUUCCUGACUCUGCAGAACCAGAGCUCUCACAAAGAGUUCCUGUGCCCAGGGUGGAAAUGCAGCCGCGUGGUCUGGACAGGCUGGGAGUUCAGCACUAAGAAACCACAAAAUCAUACUGCAAAAAACCAUAAUCUGUAAAUACAGAGAGACUUUUUACAACACUCCUUCACACUCUGGUUUAUCCUCUGCACUCAGAGGUAGCACUGCCAGAAAAGCCAGCUCAAAGUGCAGCUUAGGCACAAGAAAGGGCUCAAGCAAACAGCUCCACUGAGCCCAAAUUAAGGGCCUUCCUCUGCAUCUGCAUGUGUGCAUUGACACAAAAUGGUAGGAACAGGCAGUUUCCAAAUAUGUUUUCACCUCCAGUUAGUGGCUGAGAAGUGAUCCCUGUAGGAACAGGCUAAAUAAAUAUAAAUGUAUAUAUAAUACCUGUCUGAAAUCCAUAAGAUGGUGGACAAUAGGGAUCUUUUCACAUUACAGGCUUAAAAGCAAGAUAAUCCCUUUUCUUUUAUAAGCAGUGUGAAUACUUCCCCAGCAAACAUUCUGAAGGUUUAAAUGAAUUCAUUGGUAUUUGUUCCAAGCCUUCAAGAAGAGGUAAGAAACCUGAAACAAGGGUUGUGUGGAGAUAAGGAGCCUUAGGCUCUUGUAAUCCUCAGCUUGCUUUUGUAUCCUGAGAAAAUGCAGGGCUUUGUUGCAGACAGUUGGCUGCUCCAUGGACAUCACUAAUCCCUUGGGCAGCAGUCUCUGCCUUUGCCAGCAAGGAAAACCCUCGUCAUGAACGAGUUUUGUCAUCUCCCAGUGCAAUGAAGAGAUUCCUGCAACACAGUCAAUUGGAUCAGCCCAGAUAACAGGUUUCUGGCAGUGGGGUCACAGGAACACACUGUGGAUUUCUAUGAUCUCACCCAAGGCACAACCCUGAACCGAAUCGGGUACUGCAAGGACAUUGCCAGCUUUGUCAUCCAGAUGGACUUCUCUGCAGACAGCAGGUACAUCCAGGUCUCCACGGGCGCCUACAAGCGCCAGGUUCACGAGGUGCCCCUGGGGAAGCAAAUCACAGACCCUGCAGCCAUAGAGAAGAUCACCUGGGCCACGUGGACCAGCCCUGGUUUGAACAGCACAGGACUGGGCCAAAGCAGCUCCAUCGAACACCCGGCAGGAGGGAGAGCA